rnacentral:rRNA from 1 species
UCGAGGGGCAGCACGAGUACUUGUACUUGGUGGCGACCGGCGCACGGGUGCGUAACGCGUAUGCAACCUACCUUAUACUGAGGGAUAGCCCAGAGAAAUUUGGAUUAAUACCUCAUAGUAUUAUAGAUUGGCAUCGAUUUAUAAUUAAACAUUUAUGGGUAAGAGAUGGCUAUGCGUCCUAUUAGUUAGUUGGUAAGGUAACGGCUUACCAAGACAGCGAUAGGUAGGGGUCCUGAGAGGGAGACCCCCCACACUGGUACUGAGACACGGACCAGACUCC